UCACUACGGUGAUGAAGUAGCUCAUGCCCCGCUUCCAGGAAAAGCCUCUAAGCUCUAGAUUAUCAUUAAUCGUACCCCAAACCGACACAGGUGGUCAGGUAGAGAAUACUCAGGCGCUUGAGAGAACUCGGGUGAAGGAACUAGGCAAAAUGGUGCCGUAACUUCGGGAGAAGGCACGCUGGCGCUAGGUGAAGUGGUUUACCCAUGGAGCUGAAGCCAGUCGCAGAUACCAGCUGGCUGCAACUGUUUAUUAAAAACACAGCACUGUGCAAACACGAAAGUGGACGUAUACGGUGUGACGCCUGCCCGGUGCUGGAAGGUUAAUUGAUGGGGUUAUCCGUAAGGAGAAGCUCUUGAUCGAAGCCCCAGUAAACGGCGGCCGUAACUAUAACGGUCCUAAGGUAGCGAAAUUCCUUGUCGGGUAAGUUCCGACCUGCACGAAUGGCGUAAUGAUGGCCAGGCUGUCUCCACCCGAGACUCAGUGAAAUUGAACUCGCUGUGAAGAUGCAGUGUACCCGCGGCAAGACGGAAAGACCCCGUGAACCUUUACUAUAGCUUGACACUGAACAUUGAGCCUUGAUGUGUAGGAUAGGUGGGAGGCUUUGAAGUGUGGACGCCAGUCUGCAUGGAGCCAACCUUGAAAUACCACCCUUUAAUGUUUGAUGUUCUAACGUUGCCCCGUAAUCCGGGGUGCGGACAGUGUCUGGUGGGUAGUUUGACUGGGGCGGUCUCCUCCCAAAGAGUAACGGAGGAGCACGAAGGUUGGCUAAGCAUGGUCGGACAUCAUGCGGUUAGUGCAAAGGCAUAAGCCAGCUUGACUGCGAGAGUGACGGCUCGAGCAGGUACGAAAGUAGGUCUUAGUGAUCCGGUGGUUCUGAAUGGAAGGGCCAUCGCUCAACGGAUAAAAGGUACUCCGGGGAUAACAGGCUGAUACCGCCCAAGAGUUCAUAUCGACGGCGGUGUUUGGCACCUCGAUGUCGGCUCAUCACAUCCUGGGGCUGAAGUAGGUCCCAAGGGUAUGGCUGUUCGCCAUUUAAAGUGGUACGCGAGCUGGGUUUAGAACGUCGUGAGACAGUUCGGUCCCUAUCUGCCGUGGGCGUUGGAAGAUUGAAAGGGGCUGCUCCUAGUACGAGAGGACCGGAGUGGACGCACCACUGGUGUUCGGGUUGUCAUGCCAAUGGCAUUGCCCGGUAGCUAAGUGCGGAAGAGAUAACCGCUGAAAGCAUCUAAGCGGGAAACUUGCCUUGAGAUGAGUCUUCCCUGACUCUUUAAGGGUCCUAAAGGAACGUUUAAGACUAAGACGUUGAUAGGCUGGGUGUGUAAGCGUAGCGAUACGUUGAGCUAACCAGUACUAAUGAACCGUGAGGCUUAACCUG
rnacentral:rRNA from 1 species